rnacentral:rRNA from 1 species
AGAGUUUGAUCAUGGCUCAGGACGAACGCUGGCGGCGUGCUUAACACAUGCAAGUCGAGCGAUGAAGUUUCCUUCGGGAAACGGAUUAGCGGCGGACGGGUGAGUAACACGUGGGUAACCUGCCUCAUAGAGGGGAAUAGCCUUCCGAAAGGAAGAUUAAUACCGCAUAAGAUUGUAAUGCCGCAUGGUAUAGCAAUUAAAGGAGCAAUUCGCUAUGAGAUGGACCCGCGUCGCAUUAGCUAGUUGGUGAGGUAACGGCUCACCAAGGCGACGAUGCGUAGCCGACCUGAGAGGGUGAUCGGCCACAUUGGGACUGAGACACGGCCCAGACCCCUACGGGAGGCAGCAGUGGGGAAUAUUGCACAAUGGGGGAAACCCUGAUGCAGCAACGCCGCGUGAGUGAUGACGGUCUUCGGAUUGUAAAGCUCUGUCUUUAGGGACGAUAAUGACGGUACCUAAGGAGGAAGCCACGGCUAACUACGUGCCAGCAGCCGCGGUAAUACGUAGGUGGCAAGCGUUGUCCGGAUUUACUGGGCGUAAAGGGAGCGUAGGUGGAUAUUUAAGUGGGAUGUGAAAUACCCGGGCUUAACCUGGGUGCUGCAUUCCAAACUGGAUAUCUAGAAUGCAGGAGAGGAAAGGAGAAUUCCUAGUGUAGCGGUGAAAUGCGUAGAGAUUAGGAAGAAUACCAGUGGCGAAGCGCCUUUCUGGACUGUAACUGACACUGAGGCUCGAAAGCGUGGGGAGCAAACAGGAUUAGAUACCCUGUAGUCCACGCCGUAACGAUGAAUACUAGUGUAGGGGUUGUCAUGACCUCUGUGCUGCCGCUAACGCAUUAAGUAUUCCGCCUGGGGAGUACGGUCGCAAGAUUAAACUCAAAUGAAUUGACGG